rnacentral:rRNA from 1 species
AUUGAACGUUAGCGGGAUGCCUUACACAUGCUAGUCGAACGGAGUGGCGAACGGGUGAGUAAUGUAUCGGCACGUGCCCAGUAGCGGGGGAUAACUACGCGCAAGCGUAGCUAAUACCGCAUACUAUUGGCGCGGCCGAUAUCGGAUUUGCUAGUUGGUGGGGUAACGGCUCACCAAGGCGACGCUCCGCAGCUGGUUUGAGAGGACGACCAGCCAGGCUGGGACUGGGACACGGCCCAGACUACUACGAGAGGCAGCAGUGGGGAGUUUUGGACGAUGGGGGAAACCCUGGUCCAGCCGUCCCGCGUGUGCGAUGAAGGCCUUCGGGUUGUAAAGCACUUUUGACAGGAAAGCGGUACCUGCAGAGUAAGCACCGGCUAACUACGUGCCAGCCGCCGCGGUAAUUC